AGUGAACGCUGGCGGUAGGCCUAACACAUGCAAGUCGAACGGCAGCACAGUAAGAGCUUGCUCUUACGGGUGGCGAGUGGCGGACGUGUGAGGAAUACAUCGGAAUCUACUUUUUCGUGGGGGAUAACGUAGGGAAACUUACGCUAAUACCGCAUACGACCUACGGGUGAAAGCAGGGGAUCUUCGGACCUUGCGCGAUUGAAUGAGCCGAUGUCGGAUUAGCUAGUUGGCGGGGUAAAGGCCCACCAAGGCGACGAUCCGUAGCUGGUCUGAGAGGAUGAUCAGCCACACUGGAACUGAGACACGGUCCAGACUCCUACGGGAGGCAGCAGUGGGGAAUAUUGGACAAUGGGCGCAAGCCUGAUCCAGCCAUACCGCGUGGGUGAAGAAGGCCUUCGGGUUGUAAAGCCCUUUUGUUGGGAAAGAAAAGCAGCAGGUUAAUACCCCGCUGUUCUGACGGUACCCAAAGAAUAAGCACUGGCUAACUUCGUG
rnacentral:rRNA from 1 species